GAGACGCUCCUCAGGCAGUGGGGGAUCAUCUCCUGUCUCACAGUCAGGUGGGAAGGGGAGACCUCAAAGACAGCGAGGGAUGGAAACAAAUCCCUGUUUGGGGCAACAAGCAGAUUGCUCCUCAGCCUGCCCCACCUUCCCAGGUGCCCUUACAUAACACAUAUGAGGCUCUGGAGCUGGAGGGACUGGGGAAUGUGGAUGUUGGUGAAAGUGCAGGAGAGGUUGUCCGUGGCUAGUCAGUCUGCUCCCCAUUUUGCUACAACGCCAGUCAAGCAAAAAAAGAAGGGCUGCCAUCAUAGGAGACUCCCUCCUGAGGGGAACAGAGGGCCUGAUAUGCCACUUGGAUCCAUCCCACAGGGAGGUGUGUUGCCUGCCUGGAGCCCGGGUGACCAUGGAUUUCAUCAAUGAAUUAGCAUGACAGACCCAACAAAAGCUACCUCAAGUACAGCUGGUCUGUUUCAGAAGUGGACUAAAGUACUCUUUUUCGUUUUAUGUCAUUGAAGAUAAUUAACUCCCUGGGACUUUUUUUCUUAAAUAGAGCAGAUGAAACGAGGACAUGAGACCCUAUUUCUUCCUGACAAUGGAAAAACUCCUUUUGACAGUCUUGGAGCUAAACACUGAUGCUGCCAAUGUCUAAACUUAGCUGAGAUGUAUACCUCUCUCAUUCUGCCUAAAUUUGAGGUCUCUCUAAGUGUGCUUAGAUCUAACACACAUGAGAAAUACAAACCUCUUCCCAAUAUGAAAUGCUGGACAUUCUCUUUCCAGAUAACACUGUGAGUAGUGUGGCUAUCUGUGAAAAUGAAUAGAAGGCUUGAUUGGAUUCUCACCUUUUUUUCUGGAAGAUUUUCAAAUGUUGCUUAAUCUCUUCUCAGAAUAGAACUCUACUCACUAGUAAGCAGAAUAAACUUCCUCCACAACACAAAUUUCAGGACUUGUGAAGUCUGUACCCUUUAGGAAGUUUCAGGCAUAGAGCCAGGGACGGACGAGGGAGUUGUUGCUGGCAUGCAAAAAUAUGGAGAACAGAGAGAGCUGAGGUUAAAACAGAGACUGUUCUUCAGAAAUAUCUAAGUCUUAUCAGAAAGAGCAUCCCAGCAUCUGAGAUCACCAGCAGUUCUCUUUCUUUCUGAUAGAUAAGAACACAAUCAUAGACAAAGAAAUGCUAACAACUUAUUUUGAGAGUCAUUCUGGAGAAACAUUUCUUCUUACUGUAUCAGCAUUGUUAUAAUCUUCAGUGUAUUGUUCAAAUGGUAAUGUCUGUCCACUGUAAUGAAUUUUCAUUACACUUUUUCUUAGAAACUCCAUAAAACUUUGUGAAGGCACAAUAAGAGUUAACUUUAUUUGGGGUUUCACUAUGUAGCAUCACUCUCCAAU
rnacentral:lncRNA from 1 species